CUGAAACACUGGGCCAGUUAUAACCUGCUUCUCCUAUCAGCACGCCACUUUUAUGCAAUCAUCAUAUGCAAAACUAAGCAUUUAUCAGCACUCUGCAGAAUCCCAACGCGACUCCCGGAGGUGUCAGCACACUCGCUUCCCACCGGAGCUGCGCUCUUCCGAAACGGCCAGGCUGCGAGCGCGGAGGUGCACACGGGCGCUGAAAAGCGACGGGUCAUUCCGCCCUCGGCCCCGGGUUUGUUUUUCAACAAUACACGGCAAAAAAAAAAAACCCACACGCUUCCAGUUAUCUCGCCUGCCCCUGCACCUGAGCAGAAAGAUCCAUCCGCGAGAAAGGAAGGAGGCGCCUAAGGCGCCCGGGGAGAGACGUUGAGUGGGGCGCUCAGAAAACAAGAGGGCGUCCGCGCGGGCCGGGCCCGGCCGGGGUCAGCGGCCGCAGCUCCCGUCUGGGGCUGCGCAGGAAGGCCCGAGGUCCGGGCCGCACUCACCGAAGUCCAGGAACUGCUUCAUGGAGAGCGGGGACGGUGAGAAGCGCGCGUAGAAGUCCACUUGGCCCGGAACGCCGCGUUCGGGCGCCGGGCCGGAGCCCGAGUCCGAGCCUCCAGUGUGCCCGCAAUGACUAGGUGAAAUCAACACAAUCAUGGCAACUCAGAAGUGCAUUCAUACACAAGGCAGCUGUAAGUAUGGGUAACAGGGCCAUCAUCAAGCAGAGACGUGACACUGGGGGAAGAGUGGACACAGCGCAAACGCUCACCAUAUCCCGCUAGGCGCCCCGCAGGGCAUUUUCUGAUGGAGAUCAAUUCUGUUAGGUGUAACUGUGAUGGUUUGCUGAAUAUUAAUCACAGGCCGGGAUCUGAAGACAAAGGAGUGAAAAAACAAGCUCAGCCCUUUGCUACUUGGAGGUCUGGCUGACUGACAAGAGGAGAAGAAACAAAGAGAAAGAACAUACACCUGACUGGACAGAGAAACAGAGCUGAAAGGGAAACCAGGCUGGAGUUGGGGAAAAGGGCUGGGAACACGAAUGUGAACCAACAACCAACUCCCAAAACAGAAAAGCCACUCCUGGCCUUCAAGAAACUCACAAAUCUCAGAUGCCAAAAACAAAAGAACAAAGAAACAAAUAAACAACCCCCCACACACAACAGUCCUUACCACUUUUG